CCUACGGGUGACAGCAGUGAGGAAUAUUGGUCAAUGGACGAGAGUCUGAACCAGCCAAGUAGCGUGAAGGAUGACUGCCCUAUGGGUUGUAAACUUCUUUUAUAUGGGAAUAAAAUGUUCCACGUGUGGGAUUUUGUAUGUACCAUAUGAAUAAGGAUCGGCUAACUCCGUGCCAGCAGCCGCGGUAAUACGGAGGAUCCGAGCGUUAUCCGGAUUUAUUGGGUUUAAAGGGAGCGUAGGUGGAUUGUUAAGUCAGUUGUGAAAGUUUGCGGCUCAACCGUAAAAUUGCAGUUGAAACUGGCAGUCUUGAGUACAGGAGAGGUGGGCGGAAUGCGUGGUGUAGCGGUGAAAUGCUUAGAUAUCACGAAGAACUCCGAUUGCGAAGGCAGUUCACUGGACUGCAACUGACACUGAGGCUCGAAAGUGUGGGUAUCAAACAGGAUUAGAUACCCCUGUAGUC
rnacentral:rRNA from 1 species